UCUCCUGAGCAAAUUAGAGACCUGAGCUGCCUGAGCUCUCUCUCAGAUCAUGACACGUGGCCAACUUAACAUCUGAUGGCUCACAAUAAAUUUAGGUUUUCUAUCUCCAAUUUUUUUUGAGUUUUAUGUUGCCGCGCAGCCCGCGCUCUUGGUUUCGUUUCCCCGCUCUCUUCCUCUUGUUCUUGGUUGCUUCUGCUAUGAAACAAAAAAAACACAAGUCUUCAGUCUUUAAAUUCAAUGGCUAUGUGCAGGGAGAUCUAAUCAAAAGUUCAAAACUUUAGCUUUGUGUCUUCUCACUUUCUCCUGCAUUCCAUUGCCAGAGAUGGAUAAUUCAUUGGGUGCUACAGACAUUGAUAUUGAGAAUUCUGAUUUGGAGUUGGAUUGGAAACCUAGAAAAGGAAUGGAGUUUGAUUCUGAACAAGCAGCUUAUGACUUCUACAAUAGAUAUAGAGGAAAAAAGGGGUUUAGUAUUAGAAGGGAGACUCAUGGUAAGAAUAAAAGAACAAAAGAACUCACUUCAAGAUUAUUUGUUUGCUGUAAGGAAGGUAUUCGAUCCAAAGAUAACAGGGAUUACAUGAUCAGAAAACCCAGAGCAGAGACAAGAACAGGUUGCGGUGCUCAACUCUGUAUUAAAUUGAAUAGGAGGAACAAUAAGUUCUUUGUUACCCAUUUUGUUGAAGAGCACAAUCAUCCUCUUGUGGGGAAAGAAUAUCCUAGGAGUUUGAUUUAAACAACGAUACCCAAUGAAAUGCAAUUUUUCAUGGCCUCUGGAUAUGAAAGGUUCUGCAUCAUUCUGUUUUGUUUUUGUAAGAGAAGAGUUGUAGGCUUUUGUUUUGUUUUUAUAAGAAAUGGAAAGGGUAAUUGUCCAGUGCAGGCUUUUGUACAGUUUUUGUAAAGAUUGGAGAAGGCAAUUGUGCAGUGCAGGCUUCAUGGAGAAGGCAAUUGUGUAGUGCAGGCUUCUGUAUAGUUUUUCUAGGAAAUGGAGAAGGCAAUUCUGCAGCUUCUGUAUAGUUUUUGUAGGAAAUGGAGAAGACAAUUCUGCAGCUUAGUGUUUUGUUUGUUUAAGAGAGGGCAAAUGUGCAGCCUUGUACUUGCUAACUUCCAAACUGGAACCAAUUUCUGGGUUACAUAUGUAGAAUACCAAUUUCUGGGUUCCAAACUGGUUUAUGUCUGAU